rnacentral:tRNA from 1 species
AAAGAAUUAGUUUAAAAAAAACAUUAACUUGUCAAGUUAAAAUUAUUAAUUUAAUAUUCUUUU